CUCUAGCUCGGGCUCAGGAAAAUACAAGGGUUUCUCCACCAGAGGAUGUAGGGUCUGGAGGAAUCUGAAGUCUGAUCAGCAGCCGGAAGUCUUUCCAUGCAGGAGAGAAAUCUAAAGAAAUAAGGAAAAUUUCCACCACUCAACCCUCUGAGACAAGGCCGUCUGUCUUCCUAGGCUGCCUUCAGCUCCGGCUUCAGAGCUAGCAGGAUGCGGCUCAAGACCACAAACAAAUCUGCUGCCACUCCAGCCCGAAAAGCAACUGUCAUCGCUCCUAUCCACGUCGCUCAUUAGACACCCGCCGCGCCCGUGCGCCCGAAGGGACGAGCGGAACAGGCAAUUGG
rnacentral:lncRNA from 1 species